GAAUUACUGGGCGUAAAGAGCUCGUAGGUGGUUUGUCGCGUUGUUCGUGAAAUCUCACGGCUUAACUGUGAGCGUGCGGGCGAUACGGGCUGACUUGAGUACUGCAGGGGAGACUGGAAUUCCUGGUGUAGCGGUGGAAUGCGCAGAUAUCAGGAGGAACACCGGUGGCGAAGGCGGGUCUCUGGGCAGUAACUGACGCUGAGGAGCGAAAGCGUGGGGAGCGAACAGGAUUAGAUACCCUGGUAGUCCACGCCGUAAACGGUGGGUACUAGGUGUGGGUUUCCUUCCUUGGGAUCCGUGCCGUAGCUAACGCAUUAAGUACCCCGCCUGGGGAGUACGGCCGCAAGGCUAAAACUCAAAGAAAUUGACGGGGGCCCGCACAAGCGGCGGAGCAUGUGGAUUAAUUCGAUGCAACGCGAAGAACCUUACCUGGGUUUGACAUGCACAGGACGCCGGCAGAGAUGUCGGUUCCCUUGUGGCCUGUGUGCAGGUGGUGCAUGGCUGUCGUCAGCUCGUGUCGUGAGAUGUUGGGUUAAGUCCCGCAACGAGCGCAACCCUUGUCUCAUGUUGCCAGCGGGUAAUGCCGGGGACUCGUGAGAGACUGCCGGGGUCAACUCGGAGGAAGGUGGGGAUGACGUCAAGUCAUCAUGCCCCUUAUGUCCAGGGCUUCACACAUGCAACAAUGGCCGGUACAAAGGGCUGCGAUGCCGCGAGGUUAAGCGAAUCCUUUUAAAGCCGGUCUCAGUUCGGAUCGGGGUCUGCAACUCGACCCCGUGAAGUCGGAGUCGCUAGUAAUCGCAGAU
rnacentral:rRNA from 1 species